ACCUUGGAAAUAUGCCACAUCUUAAGCUUUAUAUAUAGAUACCCCACCUUUCAAUCUUCAUAUAUCAUACACUGAAACACAAGUAAGUUUAAAAAAUCAAGAUGAAGAAUUUGAGUUUGAUUCUAAUAUUUCUAGUCCUAUUGCUCCUAAAUACCGAGCAAGGGAAUGCUCUUGAUUGCGGACAAGUACAGUCAUCUGUACACCCUUGUGAGGCAUAUCUCCUCAAAGGUGCUAACGAGCCAUCAGCUGGUUGUUGCAGUGGCGUUAGAUCUAUAAGAGAUUCGGCAACCACUGUUGAAGAACGACGUGCUGCAUGUGAGUGCUUGGAAAAAUUUGCUAACAAGUACCCUAACGUUAGAGAUGAUUUAAUUGCCUGUACGUUGCGGUGUUGACUUAGGUUAUCCUAUAAGCAAAGCCAUGAAUUGCAAUGACAUUCCUUGAACUCAAUGGAGAUAAUAAUAAACUGAACAGGGUGGACACAUAGUUGUUCUUAUAAAAAUAAUACAAACCCUGUAUAAGUAUGUUCUAUGGUGGUGUAAAAUUUAAUGUGACGUUAAAAAAUAUAUGAUAUUUAUAUUUACUUA